rnacentral:misc_RNA from 1 species
GUGCAAAAAAAAAAGUUGAGAGAAGAGGCCUUGUCGAUUUUGUUUUGAAAGCAACAUAUACAGGGAAUUUUUUUUUUCGAAACACAGGCGUUUCUUAAUUUUGAUUUUUUGUUGAGUGUUGAUCUUCUUUCGAAAGGCUAGGGAAGAUUUUCUGUAGUUGGAAUUUUCUUAAAUAUAAAGGGCUUAAGUAAAAUACUUCAGAGAAACGUAUCCAUGAUAUUUUGAGAGAAGAGA